rnacentral:rRNA from 1 species
CCCUUAGAUGUUCUGGGCCGCACGCGCGCUACACUGAUGCAUUCAACGAGUUUCUUCCUGGUCCGAGAGGAAUGGGUAACCUUUUGAAAGUGCAUCGUGAUAGGGAUAGACUAUUGCAAUUAUUGGUCUUCAACGAGGAAUUCCUAGUUGACGUAGUUCAUCAGACUGCAUCGAUUACGUCCCUGCCCUUUGUACACACCGCCCGUCGCUCCUACCGAUUGAAUGCUCAGGUGAGCCAUUCGGACUUUCAUCAUGCUGGUUUCCAGUUUUGAUGAAGGAAAGUCUUGCGAACCUUAUCAUUUAGAGGAAGGAGAAGUCGUAACA